GACGAACGCUGGCGGCGUGCUUAACACAUGCAAGUCGAACGAAGUGGCGAACGGGUGAGUAACGCGUAAUCAACCUGCCCUUCAGAGGGGGACAACAGUUGGAAACGACUGCUAAUCCCGCAUACUGAAGGCGGGGCUGGCGGCUGAUUAGCUAGUUGGGGGGGUAACGGCACACCAAGGCGAUGAUCAGUAGCCGGGCUGGGAGGAUGAACGGACACAGUGGGACUGGGACACGGCCCCGACGCCUACGGGAGGCAGCAGUGGGGGAUCUUCCGCAAAGGACGACAGUCUGACGGAGCAACGCCGCGUGAGUGAUGACGGCCUUCGGGGUGUAAAGCUCUGUUCAGCGGGACGCGGUACCGGAAUAGAAAGCCACGGCUAACUACGUGCCAGCAGCCGCGGUAAUUC
rnacentral:rRNA from 1 species